rnacentral:rRNA from 1 species
GAUGAACGCUAGCUACAGGCUUAACACAUGCAAGUCGAGGGGCAGCAUGAACAAAGCUUGCUUUGUUUGAUGGCGACCGGCGCACGGGUGCGUAACACGUAUCCAAUCUGCCCGCGGCUCGGGGAUAGCCCAUCGAAAGAUGGAUUAAUACCCGAUGGCGUGGUCACUCCGCAUGGAGUUUCCACUAAAGGUUUUCCGGCCGCGGAUGAGGAUGCGUAUGAUUAGCUGGUUGCGGGUAACGGCCCACCAAGGCGACGAUCGUAGGGGUUCUGAGAGGAAGGUCCCCCANACUGGAACUGAG